rnacentral:rRNA from 1 species
UACGGGGGGGGCAAGCGUUGUUCGGAAUUACUGGGCGUAAAGGGCGCGUAGGCGGCCUGCUAAGUCGGAUGUGAAAUCCCUCGGCUCAACCGAGGAACUGCAUCCGAUACUGGCGGGCUUGAAUUCGGGAGAGGGAUGCAGAAUUCCAGGUGUAGCGGUGAAAUGCGUAGAUAUCUGGAGGAAUACCGGUGGCGAAGGCGGCAUCCUGGACCGACAUUGACGCUGAGGAGCGAAAGCCAGGGGAGCAAACGGG